rnacentral:rRNA from 1 species
UACGUAGGGUGCGAGCGUUGUCCGGAAUUAUUGGGCGUAAAGAGCUCGUAGGCGGUCCGUCACGUCGGCUGUGAAAACCUGGGGCUCAACCCCGGGCCUGCAGCCGAUACGGGCGGACUAGAAUUCGGUAGGGGAGACUGGAAUUCCUGGUGUAGCGGUGAAAUGCGCAGAUAUCAGGAGGAACACCGGUGGCGAAGGCGGGUCUCUGGGCCGAUAUUGACGCUGAGGAGCGAAAGCGUGGGGAGCGAACAGG